CUGUGACCCCAUAGGACUCAGCCUAUGAGGAACUGGGGGAGGGACCUGCGCACUAGGGGAUAGUUUGCUUGUUAAAACUGCGCUGGGUGUACCUGCUCAUCAAACACCCGAUCUUGCAAGACCAUUAUUAAAAGUCUCGCUUUUGCUGUUCUUGGAUCUCUGAGUCCAUUCUUUGCAUUUGGAUGGGCAAAGGUGCACACCUGAAAGAACUCUUCAGCUACCGGAUAUGAACAUGAAGGACUGCUGGUACCCACACUCAGUCAAUGACUCACAGGAGCCUUGUUACUUUGGCAAGAAUUCUAUGUUCAUUUAAUAAGUUUGCAGAGACGGACGGAAAUCUGCUUUAUUACUCUCAUCCCUCAGCCCGGAAAGCCAAAUCCUUUAUCAGUACAGCUGCUGCUUCAUUCCACAUGUCUGAAGACACCGCUGUCUCCUCAAUCAGCAGCUUUGGCAGAGAGUCAGGUUUGCAAAAAAAUGCAUUAUAAAGUCUCUGUUACACUGCCUCCUCUUCCUCUUUUCCUCUAAGCAGCUAUUUCCACAAGGGUUGGAGGGGUAAGGGAACAGGUGGUCUUACAAGAACCAUGAUGGAGUUGAACCACAGAAGAGAUAGUGACAGCCAAGGGUGCAACCUGCUGCAGUAACAGGCAGGAAAAAAGCUUCUGAUUUCUCCCUUCCUGCUACUUUCCAUUCUCCUGCCAGGGCCUCCUUUUAUUGGAAUCUAGUGAGAAGCCAGCUAGAGAGGAAGGCUGGGAAACUUGGUUUGCAGAAUAUAGACCCUGGGGAAGGGCAGGGCAUGGCUUUUGGGUCAACAGGCCAAGAACAGCGCAUGCAGAAUACUUUCUGAGCUUUGCAAUUCCAAGAGUAUCUUUAUUUUGCACUAAUACAUGAAUCUAUAUUGGUUUGGCCCAGAAUUCUUGGUUCUAUUCCUGGUCUCCCUAAAGUUUGUAACAUUGCUCUGUUACCAUCUAGCUACUGGGAUUUUCCAUAAAUAAUUGGAUUUCAUUUUUAUUCUCUCAUUUUAUUUUUCCCAUUGCAAUGUGUGUGCUGUCUUUUCUUUAUUCUUGGAAUUCAGAAAUUAUACCCGAUAGAUUUCAAAAUUAUCCUGGGAUGUUAGGAUGCCUUUCAAAUGACAGAUUCAAGGUGUUCUUUUACUUCUGGCUAGUUUUCUGUAUUAUUUGGGGCUUUCUUCUGCUACAAUUUUCAUUAGUCAUGCCUUAUCUCUUGGCUGUCUGUCUUCCAAGCUGCUCUCUUCCAGUAAUUUUCCUCACAGUUUCUUUUACUAUGUUUUCCACUUGAAAUUUUUCCACCUGUUUUCCAAAACAAGUAAUAGAGUUUCUGAACUAAGAUUAUUUAUGAGGUUAUGGUUUCUUUAUAGAUUCAAACACAGUGCUUAACUAAUAGCAGAUGCUUAGUAAAGGUGUGUUGAAUAAGAGUAUAUAAACUAGUCAAUCAUAACUAUUUUCAGUUUACAGAUUAUUAAAUAUAUGAACAAUAGUAUAGAUGUACACAGAUAUGGGUAUAUAUGUGAAUGACUGUUUAAAUAUGAAAAUAAUGCUGCAAACAUAAAGAUGUGCAUUUCUAAGAGUUACUACAGAAUACAUAAACUAGGAAUUUUCUGCAUAAAGGAAAUCAUGGGAUAAUGUACAAGACAAAUGCAGUUUUUCUAUGCACUUUUUCUCUAAUUUCCUUUUUAAAAAUUCAAAUCAGGAAGCGAUGGUGUCCAUACAUUUCUUGAACAUUGUGCUUAUAGAAAUAUGUUUGUUGCAUGCCUCAAGUAAUAACAGAACACAACUCUUUGAGUUCUAGUCUAUAUUAAAUGACUUAAAUGUUACUCACUUCAUUUUCUCAAAGAGGAAUAAGUAUAACAAUACUGUUCCCAGAAACAGUUUUUAAAAAUGAUAUAAAUGAGACUGAAAUUUUAGAAGAGGAGCUAUGUAACACUUUUACCAUAUUACUAUUAAAAUCACUUUUAGAAAGCACCUAGCAACAGAGAACCUACUUAAAAUGAAAACGAAAA
rnacentral:lncRNA from 1 species